AUGGCUCAGGACGAACGCUGGGCGGCGUGCUUAAUACAUGCAAGUCGAACGAACUUUGGUAUUGAUUGGUGCUUGCAUCAUGAUUUACAUUUGAGUGAGUGGCGAACUGGUGAGUAACACGUGGGAAACCUGCCCAGAAGCGGGGGAUAACACCUGGAAACAGAUGCUAAUACCGCAUAACAACUUGGACCGCAUGGUCCGAGUUUGAAAGAUGGCUUCGGCUAUCACUUUUGGAUGGUCCCGCGGCGUAUUAGCUAGAUGGUGAGGUAACGGCUCACCAUGGCAAUGAUACGUAGCCGACCUGAGAGGGUAAUCGGCCACAUUGGGACUGAGACACGGCCCAAACUCCUACGGGAGGCAGCAGUAGGGAAUCUUCCACAAUGGACGAAAGUCUGAUGGAGCAACGCCGCGUGAGUGAAGAAGGGUUUCGGCUCGUAAAACUCUGUUGUUAAAGAAGAACAUAUCUGAGAGUAACUGUUCAGGUAUUGACGGUAUUUAACCAGAAAGCCACGGCUAACUACGUGCCAGCAGCCGCGGUAAUACGUAGGUGGCAAGCGUUGUCCGGAUUUAUUGGGCGUAAAGCGAGCGCAGGCGGUUUUUUAAGUCUGAUGUGAAAGCCUUCGGCUCAACCGAAGAAGUGCAUCGGAAACUGGGAAACUU
rnacentral:rRNA from 2 species